GACGAGCGCUGGCGGCGUGCCUAAUACAUGCAAGUAGAACGCUGAAGGAGGAGCUUGCUCUUCUGGAUGAGUUGCGAACGGGUGAGUAACGCGUAGGUAACCUGCCUGGUAGCGGGGGAUAACUAUUGGAAACGAUAGCUAAUACCGCAUAACAGUAGAUGUUGCAUGACAUUUACUUAAAAGGUGCAAUUGCAUCACUACCAGAUGGACCUGCGUUGUAUUAGCUAGUUGGUGGGGUAACGGCUCACCAAGGCGACGAUACAUAGCCGACCUGAGAGGGUGAUCGGCCAAACUGGGACUGAGACACGGCCCAGACUCCGACGGGAGGAAGCAGUGGGGAAUCUUCGGAAAUGGGCGGAAGCCUGACCGAGCCAUCCCGCGUGGGUGAAGAAGGUUUUCGGGUUGUAAAGCCCUUUUGUAGGAAAAGAAAGGGGGGGGGUUGAUAAACCCCUCUUCUGACGGUAACCUAAGAAUAAGGGCCGGCUAACCUCGUG
rnacentral:rRNA from 1 species